AUGUUUUCAGCAGGUGUAGUGUUCAUUUAUGUAACGCUAAAGCUGCUGUUGUGUUUUUCUACAGAUCUGCUGAAUAAAAACACAAAAGCAGCCGUAGCUUUACAUAAAUGAACACCAACACUGCUGAAAACAU